rnacentral:antisense_RNA from 1 species
CUUGAUCGAGCCGAGCCAGAGCGGGUCGCGCUCCCCUCGGUCACGGCCGUACGUGGCGAGCAGCGCCUGCGCCUC